rnacentral:rRNA from 1 species
CUACGGGCGGCUGCAGUGGGGAAUUUUGCGCAAUGGGCGAAAGCCUGACGCAGCAACGCCGCGUGAGGGAUGAAGGUUCUCGGAUCGUAAACCUCUUUCAGACGGGAAGAACACAAUGACGGUACCGUCAGAAGAAGCCCCGGCUAACUCCGUGCCAGCAGCCGCGGUAAUACGGAGGGGGCAAGCGUUGUUCGGAAUCAUUGGGCGUAAAGCGUAUGUAGGCGGCCAGAUAAGUCAGACGUGUAAGCCCACGGCUCAACCGUGGAAUUGCGUUUGAAACUGUCUGGCUUGAGUACGGGAGAGGAAAGCGGAAUUCCCAGUGUAGCGGUGAAAUGCAUUGAUAUUGGGAAGAACAUCGGUGGCGAAGGCGGCUUUCUGGCCCGAUACUGACGCUGAGAUACGAGAGCCAGGGGAGCAAACGGGAUUAGAUACCCUCGUAGUC